UACGUAGGGCGCGAGCGUUGUCCGGAAUUAUUGGGCGUAAAGAGCUCGUAGGCGGCCUGUUGCGUCCGCUGUGAAAGCCCGGGGCUUAACCCCGGGUCUGCAGUGGAUACGGGCAGGCUAGAGGUAGGUAGGGGAGAAUGGAAUUCCCGGUGUAGCGGUGAAAUGCGCAGAUAUCGGGAGGAACACCGAUGGCGAAGGCGUC
rnacentral:rRNA from 1 species